rnacentral:rRNA from 1 species
CCUACGGGAGGCAGCAGUAAGGAAUAUUGGACAAUGGGCGCAAGCCUGAUNCAGCCAUUCCGCGUGUAGGAUGACGGCCCUCUGGGUUGUAAACUACUUUUAUUUGGGAAGAAACCCUGGGAUUUAUCCUGGGCUGACGGUACCAAAAGAAUAAGCACCGGCUAAUUCCGUGCCAGCAGCCGCGGUAAUACGGAAGGUGCAAGCGUUAUCCGGAAUCACUGGGUUUAAAGGGUGCGUAGGCGGCGUCAUAAGUCAGGGGUGAAAGCCCACAGCUCAACUGUGGAAUUGCCCUUGAUACUGUGGUGCUUGAAUCAGGUUGAGGUAGGCGGAAUGUGGCAUGUAGCGGUGAAAUGCUUANAUAUGCCAUANAACACCGAUUGCGAAGGCAGCUUACUGGACCUGUAUUGACGCUGAGGCACGAAAGCGUGGGGAGCGAACAGGAUUAGAUAC